AAUCGGAAGCCAACUUCAGCGUGUAUAAAACAACCGGGACCAAGUUCUGCAGUGUUAAUGUUAUCAGCUGUGUGCAUGUAAUUUAACCUCUGACGUCGGCAUCUAGUGUGCAUUUCUGGAGUUUUUGUGAAAAAUAGACGCACUGAACGACUUAGAAAGCACGUGGGACCCCACACAUUACAAAAAAUGCUGUUGCUGUCGUAAAUGAACACCAUCACUGGUUCCUGGUUGUAAUAUAUACAUCUGAAAAGAGGACACUACCGAUGGAUUCACUUGGAGAAACUGCUGCAAAGCUGAAAAAGGUACCAGGAUGUAACA